rnacentral:rRNA from 1 species
GCAAUACGGCAGCGGCAGACGGGAGAGUAACACGUGGGAACGUACCCUUCAGUUCGGAACAACCCAGGGAAACUUGGGCUAAUACCGGAUACGCCCUUACGGGGAAAGAUUUAUCGCUGAAGGAUCGGCCCGCGUCUGAUUAGCUAGUUGGUGGGGUAACGGCCCACCAAGGCUACGAUCAGUAGCUGGUCUGAGAGGAUGAUCAGCCUCACUGGGACUGAGACACGGCCCAGACUCCUACGGGAGGCAGCAGUGGGGAAUAUUGGACAAUGGGCGCAAGCCUGAUCCAGCCAUGCCGCGUGGGUGAUGAAGGCCUUCGGG